GUAAAACUGAACGGUAAAACUGAAUUGAGAGCAAAGUCGUCCAUUCGCACCCGAUGACUGGCAAGACACAAACGGCCGAUAUGGCCACUUCAGCCGACAAGUCUAUGGAGAAAUGUGUAUUAUUUUACGCUGAGCCCUGAUUUGCUACCAGUUAGCAGUGGCACUCAUCGACAUUUUGUGUCAACAAAACCUUAUUGUAGCCCCGAUCGUCAAUUUCCUAAGUGUGGAUAGCAUUGUCUGCAUAAUAACAUUAAAUUCCGGUGAGCAUCUCUUGGUCCUCCCUUUUGGUCGUAGGAAAGGGUCGGUUGUUCGACUCGUGAUGCUGCCAGAAAGUUUCCGGAAGUAACAUCAGGAGUAGAAAAUUGCUCAUCAAGUGUUGACCUGUUUAAUCGCCAUUUCGCAAAAUGCGAAACGCGAAACAUUAGACUGAGGAGAAGUGGAGAAGAAUAGAAAACUCGAGUUUUCAUUCCGGUAACCCUUCUUAUGAAGCUUCCGGCCUCGUCAGGGUUUCCAACCUUCCCAUAUAUAUCGUAAACUCGACAAGAACGUCCGAUUAUUCAGUAUUGAUCUGCCCUAUCGCAUAUUGAAAUAUCAAAUCAGACUGAACUGAAUAACCAUGUCCGAUAGACAAUUGCCAUGAGCAGAUGAUACGAGGGUCUACAUUUAAAUGCCUAGAAAACCUGAUCGGUGUUACUAUAAUAUUUAAUGACGAGAGGAUGCGGCCUAGAUGCUUUAAAAAAAAGGAAUCGGCAAGACGACGUCUGCACACGUUCAACGUGGAUCAUCUGUGAUUGUUAUUGGUAUUAUUUUUUGUAAGUUAACCCGUUGGCUGCCACGCCUUU